UCACUGCUAUAGUUCUCUAUUUUUACAAGGUUGAAAUUCCAGGAUCCCUUUAUCAUAGUUAAUCUCCAGCAUCAUUUCUGCAAGAAGGCUCGUCAUCACAAGGAAAGAGCAAUUUCUGUGAAGGAAACUCACAUCUGGCCUAAUUGAAAGUUGAAGAAUGUAGCAUCCUUUUUCCUCAUAUCCUCCCACGUCUUCAAUAUUUCAUACGCUGAGGGAACCUUGGUUUCACUAGAGUUGUCAUCUUCAUCACUAGACAUCCCGAGUUCUAACUGAUCGAUAUCAUCCAAGUAAUCAGGUUGGUCAUCAAAAGUUAAUUCGUCAUCAGCAAGCUCAAACAUUGUGUUUGUCCCAGCUCUCUCAUCUUCUCUGUGACUUAAGUGUGACAUAUCCGAAACUAACUCCCCAUCAGCACCUUUUUCUCUCUCAUCGUAGGCUUCAUCACUACAGUCAUCUUCAUCAACUUGAACAUGCUGAAGGGGUAAUUCAUCUGUAUUUGCUGGAACACUGCAUCUAUAUAGACUUCCAUCCUUGUCAGCUGUCAUAGCACUGGCAUCUGUUAAUUUAGCAGGUUCAUCUAUUAUAAGCAUACUUGACGUGCAAGAUCCACAAACAGAUCUCAAUGCCCUGCACAAGUUUACAAUGGUCGCGUCUGAUCCCAAACUCUGGCUG
rnacentral:misc_RNA from 1 species